CCUACGGGGGGCAGCAGUGGGGAAUAUUGCACAAUGGGGGAAACCCUGAUGCAGCGACGCCACGUGAGUGAAGAAGUAUUUCGGUAUGUAAAGCUCUAUCAGCAGGGAAGAAAAUGACGGUACCUGAUUAAGAAGCCCCGGCUAACUACGUGCCAGCAGCCGCAGUAAUACGUCGGGGGCAAGCGUUAUCCGGAUUUACUGGGUGUAAAGGGAGCGUAGACGGCAGAGCAAGUCUGAAGUGAAAUGCCGGGGCUUAACCCCAGAACUGCUUUGGAAACUGUGCAGCUAGAGUGCAGGUGAGGUAGGUGGAAUUCCUAGUGUAGCGGUGAAAUGCGUAGAUAUUAGGAGGAAC
rnacentral:rRNA from 1 species